rnacentral:lncRNA from 13 species
UGCCUCCUGGGUUCAAGUGAUUCUCUUGCCUCAGCCACCGAAGUAGCUAGGAUUACAGAGCCAAAGAAAAUUUAUUUGAAGUGAGCCCUUUGAAUUUGACCCAUCUUUCACUAGGAUCCACAGAUGGUGAAAUAUUAAUGAACAGGACAGCAAGAUUUGACUGGACCGUGCCUGAUGAGAUUACGACGUCUAAAGAAAGAACACAUCGUGAGAAGGAGAUUUCUGCUCAGUUAUGAACAAGGCAACCACAUUCAAUAAAUACUUAUUGAGUACCUACUGUGUUCCA